rnacentral:rRNA from 1 species
UGAGGAAUAUUGGUCAAUGGGCGAGAGCCUGAACCAGCCAAGUAGCGUGCAGGAUGACGGCCCUAUGGGUUGUAAACUGCUUUUAUAUGGGAAUAAAGUGAGGGACGUGUCCCUUAUUGCAUGUACCAUACGAAUAAGGACCGGCUAAUUCCGUGCCAGCCGCCGCGGUAAUACGGAAGGUCCAGGCGUUAUCCGGAUUUAUUGGGUUUAAAGGGAGCGUAGGCUGUUUGUUAAGCGUGUUGUGAAAUGUAAGAGCUCAACUUUUAGAUUGCAGCGAGAACUGGCAGACUUGAGUGCGCACAACGUAGGCGGAAUGCAUGGUGUAGCGGUGAAAUGCUUAGAUAUCAUGACGAACUCCGAUUGCGAAGGCAGCUUACGGGAGCGCAACUGACGCUAAAGCUCGAAGGUGCGGGUAUCGAACAGG